rnacentral:rRNA from 1 species
CCCUUAGAUGUCCUGGGCCGCACGCGCGCUACACUGACAUGUUCAACAAGUUUCUCCUAGUUCGACAGGACUGGGAAAUCUUUGAACGCAUGUCGUGAUAGGGAUAGAUCAUUGCAAUUAUUGAUCUUGAACGAGGAAUUCCUAGUAAACGCGAGUCAUCAGCUCGCAUUGAUUACGUCCCUGCCCUUUGUACACACCGCCCGUCGCACCUACCGAUUGAGUGGUCCGGUGAGGCUUUGGGAUCUGAGCGGAAAGAGCGUUUCGCUGUUUCUGCUCGGAAAACUCAGUCGAACCUUAUCAUUUAGAGGAAGGAGAAGUCGUAACA